UACUGUUAAAAUUAUGUUUUACAUACAUCAAUUACAACGAAAAAGCAAUCAAACAAACUUUAUAGUUCCUAUAUAACUUCACCCAGAUUUCAGAAAAAUGAUGUGUUUUCCCAACAUUACGUGAUUUUUCAAAAUCACAUGAUUUUCAAACAUCACGUGUUUUUCAAAAAUCACAUACUGAUUUGGAACAUUUCGUUACGUGAUUAGUUAUGUCAUUAAUUAUUUAAUUUCAUUACGUGAUUUUGUGAUGUGAUUUCAUGACGUGAUUUUUUUCAGUAGAGACGGUUCUUACGAAUGGCCAAUCAGAUUGCGACGUUGUUUGACAUCACAGUUCGGCGCGAUAAACGAAGCAUUCAUAAACAAGCUACAUAACCACAGAAAUUUGGGUGAAUAUCGGAUUGGAAUCUUGUGAAAAUAAAAUCGUAAAAUGGAUCAUUCGUACGACAAAAUGUAUUAUACGGACUCCGAAGAUACACAAGAUAUGUAUCCAGAUAUGAGUGUCCCCGUGACCGAAUUGAAUACUGAAGCUGAUGCUACUUUCAUCGACAUCGUGAGAGUGGAAGAUUGUCAGAGGCGAUAGUUACGCUUGAGGAAAUUUUUAAAAGAGCGAAGGUUACGGGAUGCAGAAACAAGGAGCGGUAGUGGAAGUACUACAGGAAGAAAAGAAUUUUCUUUAUAUCAAAAUAUGAUGUUUCUUUCGGAACAUAUUCAGUCAAGAAAAACCUAUACAAACUUGCACUCCGCCAAUCAACAACAACCGGUGAGCAAUGCACACGCAGCGUUCAUUGCUCACCGGUUCAACAAUCACCAAUUCCUCAAAAUAUUCCACUAUCGAGAAACUCUGCAUUGCUUCCAAUACGUAACUCAACACCAUCACCUAGUUCUCACAAUUUCACUGUUUCCAUGACAUCUCCACAAUCCAUUCUGAUUCCUCAAUCCUUAUCUGACUUUGAAGUGCCAACAAAUCCAGAGGCUUCUUCACAAGAAAACAUUUCAACAUCUAAGAGAAGAUCAGAAAAUAUGCAAGAAGAACAGAAUAAUUCUUUUGGUGGAUGGAUUAAAAAAAAAGACGCGCUGAUAUAAUUGAAACAAAUUUUUUGACAGUAUCGUCAGAAUUAAGUUCCUAUCUCAGAAAUUCCCAACAUACAACAAAAUCAAAUGAAAGCGAUGUGGAGUCAUUUGGAAAAUGGAUUUCUUGUGAAUUGGGAAAAUUGCCUGAAAUGGAUAAAAAACAGAAAAUGGAAAAAAUUACACAAAUUAUAUUUAGUU